AUGGAGGAGGCUUUUUGUUUUGCUUGAUGGGUUUCACUUUCAUUGACAGCUUCUAGCUGUCUCUCUGCGCAGCAGAAAAAGUCAGAGAAUUAAUGGGUAUAUUUAGAUUUCCAGGGGGUGUGGUACUGAGAGUUAUUGCAGCUUCCUUCUUACUUAGCCUAUUAAAGACACAGAUUGUGGGUUUUGUUUUGUGGUGUAGCUUUCAAAUUCUAGUAAUAUCAUAUGGAGUCUUCCAAAGUCUUCGGAGGUGCAGAAGAAUGUCACAGCAGUGAAUCAGGGUGGACAAUGUACAUUGGCUCCUGCAUAGAUGGUGAAAAUGAAGAUGGCACUAGCAUGACCCAUGAAAACAGUGAAGAUGAUGGAGAAAAUGAUGGUCAUAAGGAUGACCACAGUGAUGAUUCUAUGGUUUCUGAUGCUUCCUCUGGCCCAAGCCAUCACCACCAUGGAGGAGAGAGAUCCAGAGGUCAUGGCUUGGCUGUUGACAAAAAGGCCCAGAAGAAACCAAAGGAGAAGCAGCAACCUAGAGCUGGAAGGAGAAA